rnacentral:lncRNA from 1 species
CUCGAGUAAUAGUGCAACAAAUAUUUACGUAAGAUUCAGAAAUGUUGAAACGGCUGUGUCAAGUGUUAAGAGGCUAAAGGCGUGGACUAAUGCUCGCCGAUAGAGUCACACAGCAGCGGUCAAACACGCCCUGCAGUAUAAGGCGGGAGACACGAUCGGCGGGUACACGGUGCGCCAGGUUGAAGAAAUCAAAGAACUGCUCCUCGCUGCUGUUCGGCUUUUGGAUGAAAAAACAGGCGCGGACUUUCUCUACAUCGCCCGUACGAUCGCACCCGUACGUAUGCAGCGUCAGCGCGAGAUCUAGACUUGCUUUAACAUAAGGAUAAAGGUAUCGUCCCUUGCUUUUUGUGAUCCACUUAUUUUUUUAUUUAGCUGGGUUGGAUAGCUUACACAUCCCACCUGUGCCGGGUGUGCACAUGCUUACGACGAGCUGCUGUGUGUACACAGGAAGCUGCUGAAACAGCCUGGUAAAUAAUAAGAGGCGCCCUGCGGAUAACUUGCCGUGAUAAACUUACGCAUACUUUUCUCUUAAAUCCUAGGAAACUUAAGGCAGUAUUUGUACUAUCAUUUAUUGGGAUCUUCGCUACUAUUUGGUAAUUGCCAAGAUGUGUGCAGAGGUGGUAAUUUGAUGACCUGUAUUGCCUGAUAGUUCACUUUUGGUGUUGCAACAUAGUAGCUUCGUUUUUGGAGAGAAAGAAAGUUCAAUAAUAUGCUGUGCAUAGACAGCGGCACA